GGACCUGACUGCUAUCGGAUUGAUACUAAGCCAUGCGAGUCAUUGUAGCAAUACAAGGCAUACGGCUCAGUAACGCGUAGUCAACCUAACCUAUGGACGGGAAUAACCUCGGGAAACUGAGAAUAAUGCCCGAUAGAACAUUAUGCCUGGAAUGGUUUAUGUUCCAAAUGAUUUAUCGCCGUAGGAUGGGACUGCGGCAUAUCAGUUUGUUGGUGAGGUAAUGGCCCACCAAGACUAUUACAGGUACGGGCUCUGAGAGGAGAAGCCCGGAGAUGGGUACUGAGACACGGACCCAGGCCCUAUGGGGCGCAGCAGGCGAGAAAACUUUGCAAUGUGCGAAAGCACGACAAGGUUAGUCCGAGUGAUUUCUGCUAAAGAGAUCUUUUGCAAGUCGUAAAACCACUAGUGAAUAAGGGGUGGGCAAGUUCUGGUGU
rnacentral:rRNA from 1 species